rfam:Candidate division TM7 genomosp. GTL1 ctg3, whole genome shotgun sequence.
AAAAAGGUACUCAAGGGCGCUGAGUGGAUGCCUAGACGUAUAUUACCGAUGAAGGACGUGGAAGACUGCGAAAAGUCUCGGGGAGCUGUCAACAAGCUUUGAUCCGGGAAUGUCCGAAUGGGGAAACCCGCCAUGAGUCAUGUCAUGAGCAUCCCUACCUGAAUCUAUAGGGUAGUGGCAAGGGAACCAUCUGAACUGAAACAUCUUAGUAGGAUGAGGAAAAGAAAGUAAAUAACGAUUCUCGGAGUAGUGGCGAGCGAAACGGGAAGAGCCCAAACCUUAUUACUUUUUGCCUGGCAAUUUGCUAGGCAAAUAAGUUGACAGACGAAUAGUAAUGAGGGGUUGUGAGGUUUUUGAAAACCAGGUCAAAGUGUUCGAUUCAUCGAAUACUCUGACUUGGAUCACCGACUGUCAUUUCGGUGAAUAAGGUAAGAAAUCGGCGUUGUUAGCAGAACAACUUGGAAAAGUUGGCCAAAGACUGUGAUAGCCAGGUAUGCGAAAACGACGCUGACCUUAUAGCAAAUUCUCUCGAGUAGGCCGGGGCACGAGAAACCCUGGUUGAAUCCGGCAGGACCACCUGCCAAGGCUAAACAUAAUAUACGAUCGAUAGUGAACAAGUACAGUGAUGGAAAGGUGAAAAGAACCCCGGGAGGGGAGUGAAAUAGAUCCUGAAACUCAGUGCCUACAAGGAGUCGGAGCAUCUUCGGAUGUGACGGCGUGCUUUUUGUAGAACGAUCCAACGAGUUACUCUCAUGUGCGAGGUUAAGUUAAGUAACGGAGCCAUAGUGAAAGCGAGCCUGAAUAGGGCGCAUAAGUACAUGGGAGUAGACCCGAAACCGAGUGACCUAACCAUGGGCAGGCUGAAGCGACGGUAACACGUCGUGAAGGGCCGAACCAGAACACGUUGUAAAGUGUUUGGAUGACCUGUGGUUAGCGGUGAAAUGCCAAUCGAACUCGGAGAUAGCUGGUUCUCCUCGAAAUAGCUUUAGGGCUAGCGUUGCGUGAUAACUUACGGGGGUAGAGCUCUGUAAAGGACUGGGGCCCGCAAGGGUACCCACCCUUAACAAACUACGAAUACCGUAAGUCGUAUCGCAGCAGUCAGAACGUCGGGGCUAAGCUCGGCGCUCGAAAGGGAAACAGCCCAGACCAUCAUCUAAGGUCCCUAAAUAUACGCUCAGUGGGAAACAAGGUGAGAUUUCUUAAACAGCUAGGAUGUUGGCUUAGAAGCAGCCAUUCAUUUAAAGAGUGCGUAACAGCUCACUAGUCAAGAGAUCUUGCGUGGAAAAUGUAACGGGGCUAAAGCGUAUUACCGAAGAUAUGGACUUGCCAGCUUUGCGUUUAUUUGCCUUUGCGAGGCUGUUGGCACCCGAAAGGGCUGUCAACUAAAUUCAUCGCAAGGAUAAAGCAAAUAAAUGGAAAGCUGGCAAGUGGUAGAGGAGCGUUCCUCUCUGCAGUGAAGCAGAAUUGUAAAGUUCUGUGGAGCGUGAGGAAGUGAGAAUGUUGGAAUGAGUAACCAUAAGAAGGGUGAGAAUCCCUUCGGCCGAAAGAGUGAGGUUUCCUAGACUAUGGUAAUCAAUCUAGGGUUAGUCGGGCCUAAGCCGAGGCGCAGAGCGUAGGCGAUGGACAUCAGGUUAAUAUUCCUGGACUAGUAUAACUUUGUACACUGUUCACGGCGAAGUAAUUCGAGCGGAUUCAUGGUAUGUAUCCGUCCAAUUCUUGAGGGAACUUGAGAAGAGUGCGAGCGUCUCCUAACGAGACGCGAGUCGAAUGAGGGCGCUGGCUAGAAAAGCAGAUGUACGCAUGGGUUGUGCUACCCGUACCGCAAACCAACACAGGUACUCAGGUCGAGAAGACCAAGGCUUACGAGAGAACCUUCGCUAAGGAACUCGGCAAUACAGCGACCGUAACUUCGGGAUAAGGUCUGCCUGGGUGUGCCGCAUUGUUUCAAAGUGAAAAAAUGGUAUAUGACGUACCUUUUAUGAUUUUACACGAGUAUUUGAGAUAAUGCGGCACAUCUGGGCCGCAGCAAAAGAGCCCACGGAACUGUCUCACGACGUUCUGAACCCAGCUCGCGUACCACUUUAA